rnacentral:rRNA from 1 species
AUUGAACGCUGGCGGCAGGCUUAACACAUGCAAGUCGAGCGGGGUGAUGGUGCUUGCACUAUCACUUAGCGGCGGACGGGUGAGUAAUGCUUAGGAAUCUGCCUAUUAGUGGGGGACAACAUCUCGAAAGGGAUGCUAAUACCGCAUACGUCCUACGGGAGAAAGCAGGGGACCACUUGUGACCUUGCGCUAAUAGAUGAGCCUAAGUCGGAUUAGCUAGUUGGUGGGGUAAAGGCCUACCAAGGCGACGAUCUGUAGCGGGUCUGAGAGGAUGAUCCGCCACACUGGGACCGAGACACGGACCAGACUCCUACGGGAGGCAGCAGUGGGGAAUAUUGGACAAUGGGGGGAACCCUGAUCCAGCCAGGCCGCGUGUGUGAAGAAGGUCUUCGGAUUGUAAAGCACUUUAAGUUGGGAGGAAGGGUUGUAGAUUAAUACUCUGCAAUUUUGACGUUACCGACAGAAUAAGCACCGGCUAACUCUGUGCCAGCCGCCGCAGUAACAC